GACGAACGCUGGCGGCGUGCUUAACACAUGCAAGUCGAACGGAAAGGCCCUGCUUUUGUGGGGUGCUCGAGUGGCGAACGGGUGAGUAACACGUGAGUAACCUGCCCUUGACUUUGGGAUAACUUCAGGAAACUGGGGCUAAUACCGGAUAGGAGCUCCUGCUGCAUGGUGGGGGUUGGAAAGUUUCGGCGGUUGGGGAUGGACUAGCGGCUGAUCAGCUUGUUGGUGGGGUAGUGGCUUACCAAGGCUUUGACGGGUAGCCGGCCUGAGAGGGUGACCGGCCACAUGGGGACUGAGAUACGGCCCAGACUCCUACGGGAGGCAGCAGUGGGGAAUAUUGCACAAUGGGCGGAAGCCUGAUGCAGCAACUCCGCGUGCGGGAUGACGGCCUUCGGGUUGUAAACCGCUUUCGCCUGUGACGAAGCGUGAGUGACGGUAAUGGGUAAAGAAGCACCGGCUAACUACGU
rnacentral:rRNA from 1 species